rnacentral:rRNA from 1 species
GGGGAAUAUUGCGCAAUGGGGGAAACCCUGACGCAGCAACGCCGCGUGAAGGAUGAAGGUCUUCGGAUUGUAAACUUCUUUGAUUGGGGAAGAAGAAAUGACUGUACCCAAAAAACAAGCCACGGCUAACUACGUGCCAGCAGCCGCGGUAAUACGUAGGUGGCAAGCGUUGUCCGGAAUUACUGGGUGUAAAGGGCGUGUAGGCGGGGAUGCAAGUCAGAUGUGAAAUUCCGGGGCUCAACCUCGGAGCUGCAUCUGAAACUGCAACUCUUGAGUACUGGAGAGGAAAGUGGAAUUCCUAGUGUAGCGGUGAAAUGCGUAGAGAUUAGGAGGACCACCAGUGGCGAAGGUGGCUUUCUGGACAGUAACUGACGCUGAGGCGCGAAAGCGUGGGGAGCGAAC